rnacentral:rRNA from 1 species
GAUGAACGCUGGCGGCGUGCCUAAUACAUGCAAGUCGAGCGAACAGACGAGGAGCUUGCUCCUCUGACGUUAGCGGCGGACGGGUGAGUAACACGUGGAUAACCUACCUAUAAGACUGGGAUAACUUCGGGAAACCGGAGCUAAUACCGGAUAAUAUAUUGAACCGCAUGGUUCAAUAGUGAAAGACGGUUUUGCUGUCACUUAUAGAUGGAUCCGCCGCAUUAGCUAGUUGGUAAGGUAACGGCUUACCAAGGCAACGAUGCGUAGCCGACCUGAGAGGGUGAUCGGCCACACUGGAACUGAGACACGGUCCAGACUCCUACGGGAGGCAGCAGUAGGGAAUCUUCCGCAGUGGGCGAAAGCCUGACGGAGCAACGCCGCGUGAGUGAUGAAGGUCUUCGGAUCGUAAAACUCUGUUAUUAGGGAAGAACAAAUGUGUAAGUAACUAUGCACGUCUUGACGGUACCUAAUCAGAAAGCCACGGCUAACUACGU